UCCACCGUCGGAACUUGCUUUAGAAACACCUAAUCCACUCUCCAUCAACAUCAAUACUUUCAAAUUCAUCAAUAUCACUCUCCUUCGCCUCCAACGAUUCACAAACUUUUCCUCCACCAAUCUCCUCUAAUAUCCAAUGAAUCAAAUUAAACGAGUUUUGUUUAAAGGAAUCUAAACCAGAGACAAUGCCUAGAGAACCCAAGGGUUCUAGUCUUAGACACAAAUCGGAACAAUUAAUCUCCAAUUCAUCAACAUUCUAAACUAAAGGAAAAUCACUUUUCAUUGAAGCUUCAGAAAAGUAAUGGUCUUUGGUUUGUAACAUGGGAGAUUAAAAGGGGAAAUUACUUUCAAAGGAUGUUCGGUUUGGGUUCAAACUGCAUUUUUCAUUUAAGCUUUAGAAUCAGAUCGGAGAUACAUGAAACGCUUGGCCGGAGUUUCGAACGAGAAGAAAGAAAAUUAUAGGAUUGAUCGAUUAGCAGAGAUGGUGUUGUUCAUCUAAGGAAAUCACAAUUCCAAAGCCGUGUAAAAUCUCCGCCGUGUAUGCUCCAUCGAGAAACGCAAGGAGAGAGAAGA